UACAGAGGGGGCAAGCGUUGUUCGGAAUUACUGGGCGUAAAGGCGCGUAGGUGGCCUUCUAAGUUGAACGUGAAAUCCCUGGGCUCAACCCAGGAACUGCGUCCAAGACUGGGAGGCUUGAAUCCGGGAGAGGGAUGCGGAAUUCCAGGUGUAGCGGUGAAAAUGCGUAGAUAUCUGGAGGAACACCGGUGGCGAAGGCGGCAUCCUGGACCGGGAUUGACACUGAGGCGCGAAAGCCAGGGGAGCAAACGGG
rnacentral:rRNA from 1 species